UUCUUGGGAUAGUCGGACGCCUUUGCUGGUGUUUCCUGCGGUGAUAUUUCAAAUAACAAUUAUCACCGAGAGAACAUCAGUAGAGGCUAGGCCAUAUCUU
rfam:Caenorhabditis brenneri strain PB2801 C_brenneri-6.0.1_Cont34.27, whole genome shotgun sequence.